AGUGAACGCUGGCGGUAGGCCCAACACAUGCAAGUCGAACGGCAGCACAGGAGAGCUUGCUCUCUGGGUGGCGAGUGGCGGACGGGUGAGGAAUACAUCGGAAUCUACUCUGUCGUGGGGGAUAACGUAGGGAAACUUACGCUAAUACUGCAUACGACCUACGGGUGAAAGCAGGGGAUCUUCGGACCUUGCGCGAUUGAAUGAGCCGAUGUCGGAUUAGCUAGUUGGCGGGGUAAAGGCCCACCAAGGCGACGAUCCGUAGCUGGUCUGAGAGGAUGAUCAGCCACACUGGAACUGAGACACGGUCCAGACUCCUACGGGAGGCAGCAGUGGGGAAUAUUGGACAAUGGGCGCAAGCCUGAUCCAGCCAUACCGCGUGGGUGAAGAAGGCCUUCGGGUUGUAAAGCCCUUUUGUUGGGAAAGAAAUCCAGCUGGCUAAUACCCGGUUGGGAUGACGGUACCCAAAGAAUAAGCACCGGCUAACUUCGUGCCAGCAGCCGCCGCUG
rnacentral:rRNA from 1 species